AGUCGAUCUUCAUUAUUUCGUGUUUGAGGUUACAUUUGAUGUGAAGAUGAAGUUUAUUUUAUUUGGUUUACAGGUGAUUUUGAUUUUACUUCUAACAUCAUCUAUACUUGGUCAAAGAGGCAUUGGCAACAUGGGCAAUAUGCAAGGUAGAGGAGGAGGAAGAAAUAUUAUGCGUCCUGGCGCUGUUAUGGGACGUCCAGCAGCAUCCAUGGGACGACUCAUGGGAGCAGCUAACUCCAUGAUGCCUGGCAAAAAAUAAAAUAAAUACCUACGUAUAUAAUGACACUUCAUUUCAAUAAAUGAUGAGAAUAUA